rnacentral:sRNA from 1 species
CGCGGGCUGUGAACCAUGUACACCCGCAAUAGAGUGGUGAGCUCCGGGCUCGGCCCCUCCCCUGCCUCCCGCCCGACCCGGGAUCCCCAGGACCCUUAUGGGCGGCACGGGGAGCUGAGCCCCGUGGAAGACCAGAGACAGGGUUUGGAGGCAGCCCCGGAGAGCCCUUCGCGGGAGAGCGUCGUGCACGCGGGCCAGAGGCAGUAGAAGCAAGCCUACGUCCCAGCAAGACUCCCAGAUAAACUAGCCUCUUAACAACCAGAGUGGAGCUGAGAGAGUGAGGAGGACAAGUGCAUAUACCUUGAUAGCACCAAAUAUAAACCGGAGAAAUGAGAUACAAAGAAUUGCGGAACAGGAGCUGGCCAACCUGGAGAAGUGGAAGGAGCAGAACAGAGCUAAACCAGUUCACCUGGUGCCCAGACGGCUAGGUGGAAGCCAGUCAGAAACUGAAGUCAGACAGAAACAACAACUCCAGCUGAUGCAAUCUAAAUACCAGCAAAAGCUAAAAAGAGAAGAAUCUGUAAGAAUCAAGAAGGAAGCUGAAGAAGCUGAACUCCAAAAAAUGAAGGCAAUUCAGAGAGAGAAGAGCAAUAAACUGGAGGAGAAAAAAAGACUUCAAGAAAAUCUUAGAAGAGAAGCAUUUAGAGAGCAUCAGCAAUACAAAACUGCUGAGUUCUUGAGCAAACUGAACACAGAAUUGCCAGACAGAAGUGCCUGUCAAAGUGCUGUUUGUGGCCCACAAUCCUCAACAUGGAAACUUCCUGUCCUGCCUAGGGAUCACAG